rnacentral:rRNA from 1 species
AGAGUAUAAUCGCAAGAUUGAAAUUCAAAGGAAUUGACGGGAGUCUACACAAGCGGUGGAGCAUGUGGUUUAAUUCGAUAAUACGCGCAGAACCUUACCAAUUCUUGUAAAUAUUUUUAAAAAAUAAAUUUAAAAAAUACAGGCGUUGCAUGGCUGUCGUCAGCUCGUGUUGUGAGAUGUUUGGUUUAUUCCCUUAACGAGCGAAACCCCUAUUUUUAGUUGCUAAUUUAUAUUAAAGAUAGUCUCUUUUUAUAAAAGCACUUUAAAAAAGCUUAAUGACAUAUUAAGCGAGAUGGGGAUUACGUCAAGUCUUCAUGGCCCUUAUGAAUUGGGCUACACACGUGCUACAAUGAUAAAUACAAUGAGAGGCAAUAAUAAUAAAAAAUUGGAGCAAAUCUUUAAAACUUAUCUUAGUUCGGAUUAUGGGCUGCAACUCGCCCAUAUAAAGUUGGAAUCGCUAGUAAUCGCAAAACAG